AUACGGAGGAUGCAAGCGUUAUCCGGAUUUAUUGGGUUUAAAGGGUGCGUAGGCGGUUUGCUAAGCGGGAGGUGAAAUGCCGGCGCUCAACGUCGGAAGUACCUCCCGAACUGGUGGACUUGAAUGACUCUGCCGUGGGAGGAAUGUGUAGUGUAGCGGGGAAAUGCUUAGAGAUUACACAGAACACCGAUUGCGAAGGCAUCUCACGAAGGGUUGAUUGACGCUGAGGCACGAUAGCGUGGGGAUCAAACAGGAUUAGAUACCCUGGUAGUCCACGCAGUAAACGAUGAUGGCUAACCGCUGGGCUUAUCAGUUCAGUGGCCAAGCGAAAGCGAUAAGCCAUCCACCUGGGGAGUACGACCGCAAGGUUGAAACUCAAAUGAAUUGACGGGG
rnacentral:rRNA from 1 species